UACGUAGGGGGCAAGCGUUAUCCGGAUUUACUGGGUGUAAAGGGGGCGCAGACGGCGAUGCAAGCCAGGGGUGAAAGCCCGGGGCCCAACCCCGGGACUGCUCUUGGAACUGCGUGGCUGGAGUGCAGGAGGGGCAGGCGGAAUUCCUGGUGUAGCGAUGAAAUGCGUAGAUAUCAGGAGGAACACCGGCGGCGAAGGCGGCCUGCUGGACCGUGACUGACGUUGAGGCUCGAAAGCGUGGGGAGCAAACAGG
rnacentral:rRNA from 1 species